UGUGUGUGUGUGAGAGAGAGAGAGAGAGAGAGAGAGAGAGAGAGAGAGAGAAUGUGUCUCAGUCUCUGUGUUUCUGUGUUAUUUCAUCUUUUCUGACCAAAGCUGACCACGCCCGCAGUUAGCCACUGACGAGAUGUGUGUGUGUGUCCGGGGCACUGACAAAAUGUGUGUGUGUGUGUGUCCGGGGCACUGACAAAAUGUGUGUGUGUGUGUGUCCGGGGCACUGACGCAGUCCAUCUCAUCACCGCUGACCAUCAAGAUGACCAGCCACUGGGUUGGCUGUGUGUGUGUGUGUGAGUAAGAGAGAGAGAGGGAGAAAUCAGCAGGUUUGUGUAUCAGAGUGUUGUUGGUGUUAUGUAAGUGGCGCACGCCCUCUCUGGCUGUAUCGGUGGUACCAUGAUGUGUGUGUGUGUUUGUCUAAAGUGGGUUAUGCUAGCCUAGCUGUGUACAAAUCUCUUCCUACAAAAUAAAGCUGUGAAGCCCAGUGCAUCUCCACA